GAGACCUUACUUCAUAGGAUCAUUUCUAUAGUAAGUUCUUAACAAGACACACACUAACAAUGUACUUACAGUAGUUUUAUCAACCCCCGACCCAAAAAGAGGGGU